UGGGGAAUAUUGGACAAUGGGCGCAAGCCUGAUCCAGCCAUACCGCGUGGGUGAAGAAGGCCUUCGGGUUGUAAAGCCCUUUUGUUGGGAAAGAAAUCCAGCUGGCUAAUACCCGGUUGGGAUGACGGUACCCAAAGAAUAAGCACCAGCUAACUUCGUGCCAGCAGCCGCGGUAAUACGAAGGGUGCAAGCGUUACUCGGAAUUACUGGGCGUAAAGCGUGCGUAGGUGGUCGUUUAAGUCCGUUGUGAAAGCCCUGGGCUCAACCUGGGAACUGCAGUGGAUACUGGGCGACUAGAGUGUGGUAGAGGGUAGCGGAAUUCCUGGUGUAGCAGUGAAAUGCGUAGAGAUCAGGAGGAACAUCCAUGGCGAAGGCAGCUACCUGGACCAACACUGACACUGAGGCACGAAAGCGUGGGGAGCAAACAGG
rnacentral:rRNA from 1 species